rnacentral:rRNA from 1 species
UACGAAGGACCCGAGCGUUAUCCGGAUUCAUUGGGUUUAAAGGGUGCGUAGGCGGAUUGAUAAGUCAGUGGUGAAAGCCCAUCGCUUAACGAUGGAACUGCCAUUGAUACUGUCGAUCUUGAGUACAUUUGAAGUGGGCGGAAUGUGUCAUGUAGCGUGAAUGACUUAGAUAUGACACAGAACACCGAUUGCGAAGGCAGCUCACUAAACUGUAACUGACGCUGAGGCACGAAAGCGUGG